UACGGAGGGGGCUAGCGUUGUUCGGAAUUACUGGGCGUAAAGCGCACGUAGGCGGCUUUGCAAGUUAGAGGUGAAAGCCCAGGGCUUAACCCUGGAAUUGCCUUUAAAACUGCAUCGCUAGAAUUGUGGAGAGGUAAGUGGAAUUCCGAGUGUAGAGGUGAAAUUCGUAGAUAUUCGGAAGAACACCAGUGGCGAAGGCGACUUACUGGACACAUAUUGACGCUGAGGUGCGAAAGCGUGGGGAGCAAACAGGG
rnacentral:rRNA from 1 species